rnacentral:rRNA from 1 species
UACGGAGGGGACUAGCGUUGUUCGGAAUUACUGGGCGUAAAGCGCACGUAGGCGGAUUUUUAAGUCAGGGGUGAAAUCCUGGAGCUUAACUCCAGAACUGCCUUUGAUACUGGGAAGCUAGAGUCUGGAAGAGGUGAGUGGAACUGCGAGUGUAGAGGUGAAAUUCGUAGAUAUUCGCAAGAACACCAGUGGCGAAGGCGGCUCACUGGUCCGGUACUGACGCUGAGGUGCGAAAGCGUGGGGAGCAAACAGG